CUUUCUUUUCUCCUCUUUCUUUUUUCUUUUUUACUUUAUUUACACAGUUCAGGCAAAAAAGAAUGAAAUAUUUGUAAACUGUCUUUUUGGAAAUAUCCAGAGAGAAUUUUCUGGGAGUCAAAAAAGUGUCAUGCUUCACAGAAAGAAAAGGGGCCUUAAGAUCUGCAGUGCACGAAUACUCCUCUUCCUUCAUGCAAGCAUGGUGAAGACACAGGACUAGGUCUGCCAGCUAUCAGAGUGCUGCUUCCAACUGACCAAAGGCCCUGUUUUCCAGAUGAACAUCUAACAAGAGUGUAAUUAAAAUGUGGAGGAAGGAAAAUUUUUACUUUUCUCAGCUUCUACAAGUCAGUUUGUCUGAAGGUUUAUGCCACUAUUUCAGCUCUUCAUGAGUCGCUUCUUAGCCUAAUAAAAAGCUCUAUUCACUGAAAGCAA